rnacentral:rRNA from 1 species
GACGAACGCUGGCGGCGUGCUUAACACAUGCAAGUCGAACGGAAAGGCCCUGCUUUUGUGGGGUGCUCGAGUGGCGAACGGGUGCGUAACACGUGAGUAACCUGCCCUUGACUUUGGGAUAACUUCAGGAAACUGGGGCUAAUACCGGAUAGGAGCUCCUGCUGCAUGGUGGGGGUUGGAAAGUUUCGGCGGUUGGGGAUGGACUCGCGGCUUAUCAGCUUGUUGGUGGGGUAGUGGCUUACCCAGGCUUUGACGGGUAGCCGGCCUGAGAGGGUGACCGGCCACAUGGGGACUGAGAUACGGCCCAGACGCCAACGGGGGGCAGCGGUGGGGAAUAUGGCACAAUGGGCGGAAGCCUGAUGCAGAAACGCCGCGUGCGGGAUGACGGCCUUCGGGUUGUAAACCGCUUUCGCCUGUGACGAAGCGGGAGUGACGGUAAUGGGUGAAGAAGCACCGGCUAACUACGUG